rnacentral:pre_miRNA from 1 species
UUUAUACUCCCUCCGUCCCAAAAUUCUUGUCUUAGAUUUGUCUAAAUACGGAUGUAUCAAGUCACGUUUUAGUAUUAGGUACAUCCGUAUCUAGGCAAAUCUAAGACAAGAAUUUUGGGACGGAGGGAGUAGAAU